AAAUGUCUUCUGUGAUUUAUUUAUUAAGAGCUGAAGUUUUCACACCUAUACUACAAUAUGUGUUGUUUUAUAUCACAAUGGUUGAGCAUUGCAUGUGUGCUUCUUAUAUUCUGUUUAUGCCAUGAACUGUUAUUACUAAUGCAAUUUUUAUCAGAGUUUAUUUUCAGGAAGGAGUGAGUUUCAAUUCUCAAUAAUCCAACUGUGUGAUUCCCGUGUGACUUAAUGUUUCUUUGCUCUUUACUUAAAACACAUAGCAAAGUUCUGAGAAGCCAAAGCAACUAACUAACCAGGAACUAACCACUUCCUUUCCUCCGAGCCUGCUCAUGCUCGCCAGGGGCCAUGUUGAAGUUUCACUCAGUCUUUCUCUGUCUGAUGGUCAUCAUGUUCAACCGAGACCACGCUGCUCUUCUCUCCAUUCAACUGCUAACUGUGUGCCAAGUCUUUGCAGUGUCAGAGAUUGAAGACAGGAAUGAACUGGUGUCCAGAGGAGACUCCGUCGUCUUCACCUGCAACAUAUCUGAGACAAAUGGAACGCAACUCACAUGGACCAAAGACAGAUUUCUUUCUGCGUUUUCGUUCCCAAAGAAUAUGUCUAUUUCAAAUUUCACAUCUCGCAGACUGAGAAUAGACAACAACUUACCUUUAAGGAUGAUUAUUUCUAACGUUCAGCAUGACGAUGCAGGAACCUACAGAUGUUGUUUAAUUGCCGAGCGCAUUACAAGGACCAUUGAGUGGGAUUUAAAGGUGUCUGGAGAACCUGAAGCCAUAAUUGGAUUUCUUCUAUGUGUAGUCACAGCUGUCUGCCUCUGUAGCUACGGAUUACAUCUCAACAACUGUCGGUCGGUGCGGUGGAUUGACGACAAGAAAGGGCAAGAGGGCAGACAGCUGUGGCUUCUUAGCACCACGUGCUGCAGAAGAGAAGGAGACGGAAAGAGGCCGAAGCAUGAAGACAGGGGGCGACAAACUCACAGAGGAAAAGAGAUCAGGAAAUUAGAGAAAGAAAAGGACGAGAGGGAGCAGAGCUACAUGUGAGGGAUGAGGAGUAGAGGGAGAGAGAUGAGACGAAAUCAGAGAGUGGAACAGAAAACGAAACAUGAUGGAAAGAGCUCGACUACGAUCCCAAACCAGCACCAGGAAAGCGAGACCCUGAGUUAUGCCCAGUUUCAUGUUCAGUCGGGAAAAGAGGUGGCUCCCCUCCAACCCCACAGUUGUGCAGAAUAAAGGACGAAUCACAAGCACGUGGGUACUUCCAGAGGCUCAGUUCAAUAUGUGGCCUCAUGAGCAUGAAGUUCAGUGCAACGCCGAAUAGGAAACAAGACAAAACGUCAACUGCAUAAAAAAGAAAAUUACUAAAGUGUUAUACUGAGGUUAUUAGUCGAAAUUCCUUCAGUCCAUCCCAUGAGAAGCUUUUCACUAACCUGGUCAUUUGAUGAGUAAUGUUUAUGUCAAAUAAAAAGAACAUGAGGAAAAGGCCUUUUAAUGGCUAACUGCCACAAAUGAUUAAACCUUGUGAAAAAAGAAGAAAUGCAAAACUGGAAAUGAAGCAAAAAAAAAAGGAUACAUCCAUCAAGCAAUGGAAGGCAGAGACGAGCUGCCCCUGAAGAACACGCCUUCCUCUCUUAGACAAUGUGUCGUUUCACAUAAUCUGAACAAUAAAGAACUGUUGCUCCUUGUUGUUAGGCAGCAAUAUUUCCUUGUAAGGGGAGAGCGGGUCGGUAUGGAGGGCAGUUGGGUCAGGGCCUGUUUGGACAUCUGCAGUGGGCUUUUACAUGUUUGGCUCUGUUUUAUUUUUUUUCUCAAAGAAAUCUGUGAACUGGUGACAUUGUAAAUACAAGGUGUUCAAAUUUAGACGGCGACAUUUUCAAUUAAAAUGAUCUUUUUGUACCCAGAACAUGGUGUACCCGGAGGGGCAGAACUAUGGAUAAAUGCACUUGUUGUACAUCGAACUAAAUUGUGCCUUUUACUUUUGGGUUUGGGCUCCAAAGAUCUCGAUGAAUCCGUUAGCAGACGCCUGAAUCUUAUCAGUGAACACAUUAUUUUCAUUAUUUAAGGUAAUUUGAUGUGUCAACCGAGCCCUUUCUCAUCUACUUCCCUGUUUCUAUGGUCUAGCCAUGUCACUGGCGUCAGGGAAGUUGCGGUAUGUGAAUAAAUCGAGAGUACAAUCUAA